rnacentral:rRNA from 1 species
UACGUAGGGUGCAAGCGUUAUCCGGAAUUAUUGGGCGUAAAGAGCUCGUAGGCGGUUUGUCGCGUCUGCUGUGAAAACCCGAGGCUCAACCUCGGGCCUGCAGUGGGUACGGGCAGACUAGAGUGCGGUAGGGGAGAUUGGAAUUCCUGGUGUAGCGGUGGAAUGCGCAGAUAUCAGGAGGAACACCGAUGGCGAAGGCAGGUCUCUGGGCCAUUACUGACGCUGAGACGCGAAAGCGUGGGGAGCAAACAGG